UGACAAUAUUUAGCAACUGUUGCGGCUCUCUACUGUGUCUGCCAUUAACCCUGUGGAUGCUGGACUGUCAGAUUCAAGUUGUUUUGGCUUUUACUACAAAAAGCAUCUUUACAUAUAUCUGCAAUUUAAUGGAUAAUUUAUUUUCCCUUUCCAUACAUCUGAAAGAAGAAACAUAAUUGGUAUGAACGGCACUUAAUUCCAGACUGACUUCUUUUGAACUGUAGGUAAGCAUUAUUUGUUUGAAUGAUUACAAUUGAGACAAAAUGUGGGUUUUUAACAG
rnacentral:lncRNA from 1 species